rnacentral:lncRNA from 1 species
ACCAUCACCACUAACUCAAUUCCCAGUUCUCUAUUAAUUUGCAGAAGAAGCUACUAGAACCUCCAUAAACAAAGCGAUAUAUGGAGCUCCAAAAUGCCUAUAAAUAGGGACACUUCCUACAUCUUCCCUCACAACACACAAGUAGUAGCUAACUGGUGUGAUUACUUCUGAUACAUAUAUAGAGAGUGAUUCUCAACUUUCUUUUCCCACAAUGGGGAGUUCUAAGGUGAUGGGUUUUGCAUUCUUGGUUCUGCUCCUCCUGGAUCUCUCCUUUGCUGCUAGAACAUUGAAGGAAUAUGGCGCCGAUGGAGGCGGCGGAGGAGGUGGUGGUGAAGAGAGUGGCGGAGGCGGUGGUGGUUCCGCUGUCGGAGCUGGUUCAGGCUACGGUUCGGGUAGUGGUUCAGGGUAUGGUGGUGCUGAUGGGCACGGGUAUGCAAGUGGUGGAGGUGGAGGUGGGUGUAGCGGAGGAGGUGGCGGCGGUGGGAGAGCUGGAGCCUCCGGGUCUGGAUCAGGCUACGGUUCAGGAUAUGGAUCCGGUUCUGGUUACGGGUCAGGAAGUGGAGGCGGGGAAGGUAGAGGUGGCGGCGGUGGGAGAGGUGGAGCCUCCGGGUCUGGAGGGGGGAAAGGUGGCGGCCGCGGUGGUGGUUCCGGAUCUGGUUCAGGGCUUCGUAUUUCUGAUCGGGAUGGAAAUGCAAGUGGCGGAGGUGGAGGUAGCGGUAGCGGUAGCAAAGACGUUAAGGGAGGUGCAUCAUCCGGGUAUGGAUCAGGCUAUGGUGGAGGAGGAGGCGAUGGAAGUGGAUCGGGAUAUGGGUCAGGAUACGGCGGCGGAGAGAAUGGUUCACCCUGAAGUUGAAGAAACGACCAAUUAGUUAAUAAAGCAGGGUAGGGUUGACGAGUGUAAUUAAAUUACUAUCAUACUUUAUUAAUUUUCACUUACAAUUUAAAUGAAAUAUUUGGCAUUGAUAUGAUAUUAAUGAGAAUUCGAACUCUCAAUGAGGGAGGAGGAAAUAAUAAAAGGGAGAAUUAUGUUUUGGGGUAGAUGGACCGUCAAAUUAACAAAAGGUCCAUAUAAUUCAUCAAAUUGAGCCCAAAACCCAAUGAAAGUAUGGAAAUUGAGUUGAAGGAUAUCAUCCUUCAAUAUUUCCAAAAAUGCCAUUUGUUGAUUUUGAGAAAAAAAAAUUAAUAUUUUUGAAAAAUACUUUUAUUUAAUUUAAUAUUUUUAAUUUAAUUUAAUAUUUAAAAAAAAUACUUUUAUGUAAUUUAAUAUUUUUUAAAAUACUUUUAUUUAAUUUAAUAUUUUUUUAAAAUAAAUUUAUUUAAUUUAAUAUUUAAAAAAAAUAUUUAAUUUAAUAAUUUUUUUAAAUACUUUAAUUUAAUUUAAUAUUUUCGAAAAAAAAUUAAUUUAAUAUUAUUGAAAAAAAAUUAUUUAAUUUAAUAUUUUUGAAAACUACUUUUAUUUAAUUUAGUAUUUUUGAAAAAAAAUUUAUUGAAAAAAAAUUAUUUAACUUAAUUUUAUAAAAUAUUUUAUAUGUGUUCUUAAAGGGUAUAUUUGUCCAUUACUAUUUCAUAUCCUUCAACUCAAUUUGAAGAGUUAUAUAGACCUUUUGUUAAUUUGGGGGCCCAUCUACCCCCAAAAGAUAAUUCUCCCAUAAUAAAAAAGCUCAAAAUGGGUUGGAGUGGUACUAUUAAUUAAUUUUCACAUCUACUCAUAAAUUAAUUAAUAAUAACCACUUAUGAAUAAAUUCAUAAGUGCUUGUUUCAAUAUAAAUUCUAUAUGAAUUUACAUUAUAUCUUUAAAAUUAGUUUUAGAAUUUCUAAAAUUUGAGCUCAGAGAAAAAAGUUUUUUAGAUUUUUUUUAAUUUUUUUAAAAUAAAAGUUUGUUUGAGAAUUUUGAAAGUUUUCUAUUUGUUUUCUAUGUUUUUAAUUUUUUUUUAAAUUAAAAUUUAUAUAUAAUAUUUUAUUUUUAAUUAUCCUUCAUAUUUGUUUCAUUGUUUUUUUUAAAACUGAAAAUUUAUUGUUUUUUGUUUCUUACUUGCCAAACAUUUCUUUUCUCAAAAAUAGUGAACCCUUAAUUUUCUAUUUUAGUUUUUUUUUUUAAAAAAAAAAAAGGGAAGAAAUAACACUCAUGUUAUUAUAUAGAUGUGAAGAUCAGUUUUUGUACUAUAGAUUUAAAUCCACAAAGUUAACUAAUUUAUAAAAGAAAAAUAACAAAUAAAGAAUAGAAAAUGUUUGCUCUAUUUUAUGAUGACUUUGAUCAACAUUUUAAUAAUAUAUCUUGAAUAUCGUUUUUACAUUCAAUUAUCAUUUAUUAUAUAAUAGAAAAUGAAAAAUGUGAAGGUAUAUGUAGCAUCUUUAAAUAAAAUAAAUAAAUAAUUGAGCUAAUCUUAAAUAAGAAAAACACCCAAGAGGGGGGUGAAUUGGAUUUUAAAAAAAUUAUUUUUAAACACAACAAAUUCAAGUACAAGAGAAGCAAAUAAAAAGAAAUAAAGUUAGAAAAAUCAAACUCAUAUUUUAAAAUGGUUUGGCACUUUCUUACCUACGUCCACUCUCCCCAAACUCCUAACCGAGUGAGGGUUUCAUUAACUUGAAGUUUCAACCAAGUUUCUAAUCACCUUUACACUUGAAUUCUGACUCCAAUGGGCUCUUACACAAUCUCUUCAAGAUUCAACUCACUUGAAGGCUUUAACACUCAAUUAACAAGAAUGAACUUCUUACAACCUAACUCGAUAAUAGUUCAAAUAAAAAUCAAAACUAGGAUGAAUCACAAAGGUGCACUAAAGGAUAUGCAAGUGAAGAUUUAAUGCACCAAGAAAGAAAUGAGAUCUUUUAAAGCAAGAACAAGUGGAUAGACAAAUAAAUGUAGGUGUUCUCUUACACAUAAAUGAAGUGGAGCUCUUUAUUUAUAGGUUUCUAAAGUCGGGAGCCAAGAAAAUCAAAAAGUAGCCUCAACCGGUCGAGCUGAGGGUCGACCGAUUUACUAGCCAUUGGAGCAUUUAAUGCUUUGGCAUGUUACCGUUACUUCAACCGGACCUCGAUCGGAGGUCAACCGGAAAGGGAAUUGCCUCGAUCAGGAAGGGAAGGCUACUGAAAAAGAGAGAGUGUUUUUGCACUCCUCGACCGGACCUCGAUUGGGCAAAGGGAACUGGUCGACCAAUACCCUAGCCAGUUGAGCCGAUUGGCCAAUGCCUCGACCGGUUCACCAUUUUGGGUCCAAAAACCUAUCUUUUUCUGUUCUUUUCUCUUCUAACACUUAGGCAAGGUAUUUAGGUAAAUUAAAAUGCCAAUUUUGAAACGAUUUGCCUAAGGUACAUUUGAUAAAACUCGGGUUUUAAUGAAACAGUAACUUUAAAGAAUAAAUCGAGUUUUUCAAAGAUGCAUGAAAUGAUAUGUAAAACCUAAGUGCACCCAUGCAUUCAUCUUACCUUUGUUUCCUAUUAUUGAAGGUCUUCCAAACGUCUUGAUCUUGCAUUCAUUAGGUCCUUUGAUGAAUUUUCAAAUUAAUAUUUGAGAUUCUUUACAAUUCAAACCAAUUAGUAACUUAACCAUGGUUUGUUAUCAUCAAAACCUGAUUAGGAGAACCAUUGGGCUAACAAUAAUAAUAAUAAAAAGAUAACUAAAUUAUCUAACAAAGUGGCCAACACUCGUAGGAGUAGAGUUUAGUAGUCACUAAAGAUAAAUUAAAUCUUCAAACUAAAAAAUUACUAAAAAAAUUUCAAAAACUUAAUUUUUAUAAAAUAAAAGAAAGAGAAGAACAACGAGAAAAAACAAAAAAGAAUAAAAGAAAUGCUAAGAGAAAAUAGAAUUGUUAUUUCAUUAGUAGAUCUUCUUCUUUUAUAAAUAGUCAAAAAAGAUAUUUAUAUCGAUGAUUAUCUACAAGUUCUCAUAAUUCAAUAAAUUAUCAUAUUUUAUAACAUUUCUCCUUGGAUGAUCAUAAAAAUAUACUUCGUUAAAACCUAAAUGAGACAUUUCUUUAUAUUGGCAUUUGGAAGUCAGCCACAAUGAGAAUAUGGGUUUAAAUAAAUACAAAUCUGCAAGUUAAUAUGUUCUCUAAAAUGGUUCUAUUUUUUUAUAUAUCAAAAUUAAAAGAAAUUUGCAUAUUUUCUUCAAACAUAAGAAAAAAGUAUUUAAUUACUACAACUUGUCUUAAUUUGGAUAGGUUAGAUAGAAUUGUAAUUAACCCAGAUUCACUCUAAUUUAAAAACAAUGGAUUCGAGUCCAAUCCAUUUUGAUACUACUCAAUACAAAUCCAAAUUAAUCUUAUUUUUUUAAAAAAAAAUUAUAUUGAGUUUGGGUUUUUUUUUCUUAAAAGUUUUAAAAGAAAAUCAAUAAAAUAAAUAUUAUCAUAUAAUAUAAUAUAAAUCAUAAAUGUUAUAAAAAAAUAUUAAAUUCCAUCCAAAUAAGUUCGAGUUGAAAAAGUUUAACCCAAAUCCAAUCAAAAUAUUAAACAUUAUUGUCUAAAUCCAUCUCAAAUUUGGUUAAAUUGAGGUUAAGUGAAUCAAUUUACACCACGUUACACUUCUACUUACCUAUGAGAGUUAUAAGAUGAUAUGUAAUUAACGAAAGCUCCAUCCCAAACAAAAAAGAAAAAAUGUACACAACGCGAUCAUCAAAUAAGCUUCUAAAUUAAGUUAUAAUGUCUUUCAUAACCCCAAUUUAGUUAAACAAAUCAAUUAACCUAGUUAGUCUCUCAAUCAAUACUUCCCAUUCAUGUACUCAAACUCCAACACUCAUUGGAUAACAAACAUGGGACGCCUCUAAAAGACUUUGUCAAGGCUGAUGAUAAGUGUUAUCUCAGUAAACAAUACAUUUAUAGAUAUAUAGACUUAUAGUUAAUGGUAAUUAAAUAUAAUGCAUGCGCACAAAUAUACAAAACCAUUGAAAAGUCCAAAGAAUUGACAACUCCUAUGUUAAUUGCUACUUGCUAGCUGGCUGCUAUACACCACCAUAAUGCUCCAUUGCAACGAUUGGAACACACUGCAAAAGAAAAUGGCCAACAAAGUAAAAUGGGGAAGCCAAAAUAGAAUGCCAUUUGUCAUUGUGAGGUUGCAGAUAUGAAGGAAGGUGAAGAAGCACUAACAUUUGUAGUAGAGAAUUUGGGUAGGUGAGCUUGGUGGGGGUGUUUCAUGUUUGUGGCCAAGCUUUUUUAGGUUUUCUGAAAGUGGUACGGGUUGAAAAGGGUGGGUGGCACGAAGAAUCCAAGAUUUGGGGACAACCCAUGGCUCUAGGCCCUAAGGUCUUCUCUUAGUAAAGGUUGGGGACUGGUGAGCGACGUGUGGUUUGAUAAUCAAACAAGUGAAGAAAAUAGUAGUGUGUGGCGGCUUUUGGCGGAGAGAUGGUGAUAAGCCAUUCGAGUAUGAACACGUUGAGAAUUGGGAGGAGUUUGUUAAAAGACAUUUCAGGUUAAAAGUGGAAUACAAACUUUGGUUAAUAAAAAUACCCAUGAAAAAAUAAAAUUGGUAAAGAGGAUGAUUUUCUCGUAUUUGAUUAUUCUAUAAAAAAAAAAUAUAUAAUUCAAAAUAAUUAAAAAUUAAUAUAUUUUUAAAUUAUUUCAUUUUUAUAUGAAUAAAAUAAAAUAAAAAUAAUUUAUCCAUUUUUAAUCCAUAUUUUAUUUUUCUACAUUUUCCUUAUACUUAUAUAUUUUUCUUUCCUUCUAUUUUCACUCAAAUUUUCGCAUAACCAAACAUAUAUAGUUUAGAUUAAGAAUUGCAUGAAAGUCUGAUGAUUCACCAGUCAUCACCGUCACCACUAACACCACUAACUCAAUUCCCCGUUAUCUAUUAAUUUGCAGAAGAAGGUACUAGAACCUCCAUAAACAAAGCGAUAUAUGGAGCUCCAAAAAGCCUAAGGGACACUUCCUACAUCUUCUCUCACAACACACAAGUAGUAGCUAACUGGUGUGAUUACUUCUGAUACAUAUAGAGAGUGAUUCUCAACCUUCUUUUCCCACAAUGGGCAGUUCUAAGGUGAUGGGUUUUGCAUUCUUGGUUUUGCUCCCCCUGGAUCUCUCCUUUGCUGCUAGAAUGUUGAAGGAAUGUGGCGCCGAUGGAGGUGGCGGAGGAGGUGGUGGUGGAGAGGGUGGCGGAGGCGGUGGUGGUUCCGCUGUCGGAGCUGGUUCAGGCUACGGUUCGGGUAGUGGUUCAGGGUAUGGUGGUGCUGAUGUGCACGGGUAUGCAAGUGGUGGAGGUGGAGGUGGAGGAGGUGGCGGCGGUGGGAGAGCUGGUGCCUCCGGGUCUGGGAGGGGGGAAAGGUGGCGGCCGCGGUGGUGGUUCCGGAGCUGGUUCAGGGUUUCGUGCUUCUGAUCGGGAUGGGAAUCCAAGUGGCGGAGGUGGAGGUAGCGGUAGCAAAGACGUUAAGGGAAGUGCACCAUCCGGGUAUGGAUCAGGCCAUGGUGCAGGAGGGCGAGGCCCUGGGUCCAGCGACGGGAGUGGCUCCGGAUACGGAUCAGGGAGUGGAAGUGGGUACGGAAGCGGGAGUAGUGGUGGCGAAGGAGUUGGGGGAGUAGGGGGAGGAGGUGGAGGAGGGGGCGGAGGCUCUGGGUCCAGCGGCCGGAGUGGCUCUGGAUGCGGAUCAGGGAGCGGAAGUGGGUACGGAAGCGGGAGUGGAGGUGGCAAAGGAGGUGGGGGAGGAAGAGGAGGUGGAGGCAAUGGCAGUGAAGUUGGUCCAGGAUCCGGAUCCGGAUGAGCGGAAGUGGAUCGGGAUAUGGGUCAGGAAACGGCGGCGGAGAGGAGGGUUUACCCUGAAGUUGAAGAAAUGACCAAUUAGUUAAUAAAGCAGGCUGAGGUUGACGAGUGUAAUUAAAUUACUAUCAUACUUCAUUAAUUUUCACUUACAAUCUAAAUGAAAUAUUUUACAUUAAUAUGAUAUUAUGGAGAAUUCGAAAUCUCAUAAUAAAAAAGCCCAAAAGAGUUUAAUAGUCACGAGAGAAUGAAAGGAAGAAGAAAUAAUAAUAAUAAUAAUAAUAAUAGUCACUAAAUUAUCAAAAAAGUGAUGAUCAACACCGGUAGAAGUAGUAGAGUUUAAUAGUCACUAAAAAUAAAUUAAAUCUUAAAACUAAAAAUUUCUCAAAACUUAAUUAUUGUAAAAUAAAAGAAUGAAAGGAAGAAGAAAAAAAAAAAACAUGAAUGCUAAGAGAAAAUAGAAUUGUUAUUUCAUCAUUAGGUAUUCUAUUUUUAUAAAAAGUCAAGAAAAUAUUUGUAUUAAUAUGGAUAAUCAUUCACAAUUUCCUGCAAUCCAAUAAAUUAUCAUGUUUUAUAACAUUCCCCUUAAAUGAUUAUAAGAAUAUGUCUCGUUAAAACCUUACUAGGAAAAACCUUAGUGAAGGAAAAAUUAUACAAUAUUCUUUUAAACUUUUAUGACUGCCUCAAUAAAAACUUUGUCAGUAAAACCUAAUGAGACAAAACCUCAACGAAGGGAAAAAUAGUAUAGUAUAGUGAUAUCUUUAUUAAUUUAUUCCUUCUAAUGUUGAUAUGAUUAUACCUUUACUAGUGAUUGCCGCAUUUUAAUGUUAUAUAUAAGUUUUUUUAGUGUUAGAGUUGGCAAUUCUUUUGUGAAUAAGUCUGUUAAAUUUUUGUUUAAUCCUUCUUGUUGAACAUAGAUUUUACUACUCUUUUAAAGCUUAUAAAUGUAAAUAAACUUGAAUAUAUAUGCUUAGUUUCAUCACCCUUAAGGCAUUCUUCUUUAAUCUACAUGAUAAAAAAUAACAAGAAAAAUAAUUAUAAAGAAGUAUUGUUACUAUUAGAAACUAAAGAAUGAAUGCAAUCAUAAAAGAGAAGAGAUAGCACCAAUCAAGAACAAGAAUAGAGAAAUCCUGAUAAAAAUAAUUUAGGGACAACAUAAUGGCCUUUGUUUAACAAAAAUAAGAACCUAAUAGUAUGGCCAAAUCCAAGAAGUUGGAAUAAGACUCUGUGAGUUGAAUAGAGUUGUACCAUCAAUAAUCUAAGGGCAAUAGGGUUAGCCAUGAAAAUUGAAUGGCUCAAAGUAUACUAUACAUCAUUUGGAGCUCCAAAUUCACCAUUUCAUGCAGAAAAAUGAUACACUUUUCCUUUAAAACUCAAUUAAAUUAUUUUUUCUCCUUUUUUUAUAUUUUUUUUCCUUUUUUUGUUUUUGGGUCGAACACCUCUUGUUUCUGAUAUUAAACUCAUAAAUGAGUCCAUUCUAGGAAUCAACAAACUUAAAGUAGUUCAUGCAUAAUGAGCUAAACCAAACAUUUCCUCCAAGUUAAUGUUAACAUUUUAAGUCUAUUGGAUUUGCAUGAAUAAUAGCUUUGCAAAACUUUUUAUAACCAUGUUAAUUUCAACCCAAAUUGUUGCAACUGCAAUUAUUAUAUAUGUUUGACUGAGGAGAAAAUACAUGAAAAUAAAAAAUAAAAAAAAUAAAUAAAAAUAUAAAAUUUAAUAUCUUAUUUCCCAUUCUUCUACCCUUAACCAUGAUGAAAAUAUUGUGAUAUGUCAGAGAUUUAUCACUGAUAUAUCGUAUAUCGGGACUUAUGAAAAUGAUAUUGGGUAGAGAAAUAUCGGUCACGCGAUAUAUCCAAAAAAAAUCACUAUAAAUCGCCGAUAUUUCACUAUAUAUCAAUGAUAUUUCAAGUCAUUUUGGCUUGGUCAAAGUGCGGCUUGGACGGUCAACAUGCGGGCGCCACGGUCAAAGCUCAAAAAUGAGCUUUAUUUUUUGCAAGUUGAGGGGAUUCAAACCCCCAACAAAACGCUCACCCUAUAGGUAGCCAUCCACUAGAGCAAGUUUGCCCCUUAUAUAGUAAAAGUCAUUAUAUAACAAAAUUUUAAAAGAAUAUAUUAAAAACAAAUUAAUUAUAAUUAUAAUUAAAUGAAAAAAUAUCAUUUAAUUGACUACCAAAAAUAUAAAAACUAUUAUGAUAAUUUUCUUCAUAGUGUUUUUAAUAUCAUGAAUAGAUUAAUUAAAUAUUAAAAAAUUGUAUACAUAUCAUCAUUUAUUCUAUAUCAUUUAAUACAAUUGAAUUAAAUUGAUCAUAAUUUUAAUAUUAAAUAUAUUUUAAAAUUAGACAUAUUAUAAUCAAAUAUUACAAUAUUAUUAUGAAAUAAUAUUUGAUAUAAUUUAAUAAUAAAUAUACACAUAUAAAAUUCAUAUUUUUUAUUAACAUAUAGAUAUUAUUAUCAAAAAGGAUAAAUCAUAUCAUACAUAUAUCAAAUUAUUCAACAAAACAACUUUAAAAUGUCUUUUAUAGUUCUAAUUAUAUUUCUAUGAGGUUUUUCUUAUAUUUCCAUAAAUUUUGAUCAAGUUUAAGUCUACCGAAAUUUUUUUUCAAAAUAUUCGCUAAUAAAUCUCAAAUAUAUCCGUAAAACUGAAAUACCAUAUAUCUGUGAUUACCGAUAUUUUUAUCCUUACCCCUAACAAAGAAAAAAAUCUCAACUCAAUUGAGCCUAUUUUAGUCAAACAUCGCCUAGUCCAAACAGUUGUCAUUGCCAUUAAUAUGCUGCUAAGAAAUGAAACAAACUUUAAAUCUUACAAUUCCAUUAGCCAAGCAUAAAAUUCAAAAUUCCAUUUCUUUUUCUUCCCUGAGUUUCUCAAGGACUAAACAAAGACUUAAUGCAAUUAUCUCAAAGAAUUCAUUUAAAUAAAUGCAACAAAUUCUACAAAUUGACCUUUGCAAUGAUAAUCGCUCAGAGAUUCAAAUCUGAGUUUCAAAUUCAACAACGAAAUGUCCAACAAAAUUCAAACUUGAAGUAGAUGGAUUGAAGCAAGAAAGUCAUUGGUGUAAGAUAAAAUCUCUAAAAUUGCAAGUAAUAAAAUGAAAUUCCAAGAUCGUACCUCCAACCAUAACAAUCAGAUUCACACAAAAUAGAGAUUAGUUGGCUAGUCCUUCCAAGACCUUAUGUCCAUGCACCGAUGGAACUCACAGGCCUAUUCUUGAAGACUAGAGACCCUUAUCGCACUUCUGGAAUUAAUACAGUAUAUAUGUAUUUUUUUUUUCUCUUCUCCCCAUCAAAAAAGACUUGAGGUAGUUUUCACACCGAGUAAUAUGUCUCACGUCUGCAGACAUGGGUGGUUACUCCAUAAGAUAUGUGAUCCCACAUUUCAUUUAUUUUUAGGGAAAAUAAUAUUUAAAUGGGCCACAAACUUAAAAAAAAAUUAUUCUAUUUUUAUUAUUUUAUAAAAAACGGUUUUCAACAUUUCUCCCACUUGACCCAUAAAAAUUACUUAAUAUGUAUUAAUUAAAUUAAUACAUAACAUAUUUUUCCCUAAUUCCUUAUACUUAAUCAAAAGAGUUUAAAACACAUGAAUCACGAAGGCAUAGCAAGCAUGCGGCUAAACUCUCUCUAAACUUUAUGUAUACAACCAAAUGAGAAGACAAAAUUGAAAUAAUUGGAGUUUUCAUAUCGACCAAAAAUGCAAUAAAACACAAAGGGUAUCUCAAUUACAUGAAAUUUAAAUAACAACAUAAUUGAGUCUCAUAUGCUCAACAUGUUCCUUAUAAGCCUUAGGUGGCAAUCCUUUCAUCAAAGGAUCUGCGAUCAUCAAUCCAGUACUAAUAUGCUCAAUAGUUACCGUGUUUGACUUAACAUGUUCCCUAAUAGCUGAGUACUUUAUGUCGAUGUGAUUAUUGCGAAUUGCACUCUUAUUAUUCUUAGCCAAAAACACUACAAUAGAGUUAUCGUAGUAAAUCCUCAAUGGAUUAGAAAUUGAGUCAACAACCUGAAGCCCUGAAAUAAAACUCCUCAACCAAAUAGCUUGUGACAUUGCUUCUAAACAUGAAACAAAUUCUGCUUCUAUGGUCGAAGUAGCAACCAAUGUUUGCUUUGCACUUCUCCAUGAAAUGGCCCUUCUAGCUAAUAAGAAGACAUAUCCAGAUGUCGACUUUCUAGAAUCAAGGCAGCCAACAAAGUUAAAAUCCAAAUAUCCAACCACAUCUAAAUGAUCAAAUCGCCUAUAUGUAAGCUUGUAGUCCCUAAUCCCCUAAAGGUAUCGCAUGAAUUUCUUUGCAGCUUUUCAGUAUUCCAGACUUGGAUUAUUUUGAUAUCUGCCCAACAUUCCUACUGCAUAAGAAAUGUCAGGUCUUGUACAAACUUGACCAUACAUUAAUCUCCUAACUGCAGAAACAUAAGGAAUGUUUUUCAUCUCUUUCUUCUCCAAAUCAUUACUUAGGCAUUGGUCCAAACAAAAUUUGUCGCCUUUGGCAAUUGGUGCAAUACCAAGUGAACAAUCCUUCAUGUGAAAUGUCUCAAGCACUUUAUUGAUAUAGGUUUAUUGAGACAAUCCUAAUAUUUGUUGAGAUUUGUCUAUCUCAAUCUUUAUGCCAAUGAUAUAAGAAGUUUCACUCAUAUCGUUCAUAUCAAAUUGUAGCGAGAGAAAUCGCUUCACCUCAUGAAGCAAGCCCAAAUUAUUUGAAGCAAGCAAAAUAUCAUCCACAUAUAAGACUAAGAAAAUUAUUUUGCUCACACUAACCUUAUGGUAUAUACAUUGAUCCAUAGCAUUCUCCAUAAAACCGAAUGAAAAAAUAACAUUAUGGAACUUUAAAUACCAUUGACAGGAUGCUUAUUUUAGUCCAUAUAUAGAUUUCUUAAGCUUACAAACAAUGUGAUCAUUUCUAUUUGUGAUGAACCCUUCUGGUUGUUUCAUGUAAACCUCUUCCUCUAAAUCUCCAUUAAGGAAAGUUGUUUUCACAUCCAUUUGAUAUAGCUCCAUAUCAAAAUGAGCUACUAAUGCCAUGAUUAUACGAAAUGAAUCAUUCUUUGAAACAGGAGCGAAGGUAUCAGAUAAUCAAUUCCUUCUUGUUGAGUGAAUCCUUUAGCUACAAGUCUUGCCUUAUAUCUUUCAAUAUUGCCCAAUAAGUCUCUUUUAGUCUUAAAAACCCAUUUACAACCAAUGACCUUUGCACCUUUGGGCAACUCAACAAGAUCCCAGACUUGAUUAUUAGCCAUUGAAUUCAUCUCAUCUUUCAUGGCAUUAUACCAUAAUGUGGAUUCACUUCCACCCAAAGCUUGUGAAAACGUAAUGGGGUCAUCUUCAACACCAAUAUCAAUGUCAUAUUCUUGUAGGUACACAACAUAAUCAGAAGAAAUUGCAGGUCUCCUUUCUCUAAUAGAUCUUCUUAAUGUUAUAUCAACAUUCUCUAUCUGACUUCACAAUCUUAAUUUGUUUACCCAAUUGUUUCUCUACCUCUACUUUAUAGAUUUUGAAGGCAUCUAGUGUUUCACACUUAUCAUAAAGCAAAAAGAGAUACAUAUAUCGUGAGUAGUCAUUAAUAAAGGUGAUAAAAUAUGUUUGACCAUUUAAGCACAUAUCAUAGGGACCACUAAUGUCAGCGUGUAUAAUUUCUAAAAUAUCAGAAGUCCUCCUAGCACUCUGCUUCUUAGUCAUGUUGGUUUGCUUUCCUUUAAUGUGAUCCACACAAAUAUCAAAAUUAGUAAAAUCAAGAGCCUCAAGGACUCCAUCAUUUAUCAAUCUUUUAAUUCUUUCAAUAGAGAUACGACAUAAUCUCUUGUGCCACAAUAUGGAAGAUUUCUCAUUUAUAACACCACGCUUAAUGCCAACAUUUCCAUGCAUAAUUAUAAGGCUAUGAUUAAAACUUUGAUUUAAAUAGAAUUUGAAUAAACCAUUAUCCAAAAUACCAUCACCAACAACAACGUUGUCUUUUAUCAAAUGAAAUGAAAUAUCAACAAAUUUAAAACCAAAACCAUAUGGUAAAAGUCUCGAAACUAAAAUAAGAUUCCUAAAAAAUGAUGGAACAAAAAAAGUUCUUUCAAGGUCUAAUACAAAACCAAAUCUAAGAACAAGUUUGCAGGUCUCAACCAUUUCCACAUGUGAACUUAUCUGAUUUCCUGAAUAGAUAGAGCAUUCACUUUCCGUUAGGUUCCUUUGGUUUAAGAAGCCUUGCAUGGUAUUAACAACAUGGAUUAUAGUACCAAAAUCAAUCCACCAAGUGUUGUAAGAAAUAUGAAUCAUAUUAGAUUUGUAACACAAUAAAGAGAUGAGAUUACCUUUCUUUUCAAGCCAAGCCUUAAAUUUGGGAUAACUCUUCUUAAUGUGUCCUUUCUUCUUACAAAAGAAGCACUUGAUAUCACCCUUAUUAACAUGAUUAAGAGGCGUCUUUUGCUUUUCUUUACUUUUCUUGCUUGCUUUCUUUUCUUGAGUCGCCAAAUGAGCACUUUCAAUCCUUUCUUGAUUUAGUCUCCCUUCCUCUUGCACACACAUGGUCAAAAGUUCAUUGAUAAACCAUUUUUCCUUACGUGUGUUGUAUGAAAUCUUAAAAGGUUCAUACUCAGAUGAAAGAGAAUUAAGAAUGAAGUGAACCAAAAAUGACUCAAACAUCUCAAUCUCCAAUGACUUAUGUUGAGCAGCAGUAUCCCUCAUUUCCAUUAUGUGCUCAUGCACUCCUUUGGUGCCAUUGAACUUCAUAGAACACAUCUUUGUCAUUAGGGUGCUAGCCAAAGCCUUGUUAGAAGUCUUAAACUGUUGCUCAAUAGCUUUGAGAUAUUCUUUCACCUUUGCAUGUUCAGAAAUUGAACCACAAAUACUUUUCCCAAUAUUAGACUUGAUAAACAUCAAACUCAAGUGAUUAGAUCACUCCCAACAUUCAUAUGAUGCUUUCUCAGUUUGGGUAAUUGAUUCCAUAGGAACCAGUGGCUCAUCCACACUAAGUGCUAAAUCAAGGUCCAUGCACCCCAAUGUAAGGAGAGUUUUCUCCUUCCAAUCAUCAUAAUUAUCACCAUUCAAGGAAGGUAUACGAGAUGAAUCAAAAUUUGGAAUAGAUAUAAAUUGAACUACAAAAUAAAUGACAAAGCUUACUAAUAAGCAAUGAAACAAAAAAAUUAAAAUUUACUCAUGUAAAUUAAUUCAAUCAACAAAAAAUCAACACGUGAUCAUAAACUUUCAUGUCAGAAUGGAAUACGACAUGCAAGUGAUUUUUUUUUUAAUUACUUUAUAAUGGGAUUGGUAAUUUUAGGCCUAUGGGCAACAUUUUUUUUUUUUUUUUUACCAUCCCAUCCUAAAUAAACACAAAACAUAAUAAUUACCUUGUGGGAUAAAAUUAUUAUUUUUAUGAUCAUUUACAAAUAUUGAUGUCAUUAAUUUAAUGUGACAAAAAUUAAACUUUCUUUUGCCACUUAACAUUAUCAUAAUCAAGAAUUUUGUGGCUAUUACUUAAUUAAUCAAAUGUUACUUUAGUAUGACAUCAAAAAUUAUCAAAAUCAAUGAUAAACAAAUAUAAGUAGUGUUUCUAAAUACUACUUCAUAAAAAUUAAUUUAUACAAGUUGUUCACAGUGACAGAGCUAACAUUUAAGUUUAGAAGAGGCAACCUCUAGCAAAUCAUGGGCCUUAGUCUAAUGGUUCAAGGAAUAUUUUAGUUAAUGGGCAAUCCAUGCUCAUGGGUUCAAGUCCUUUUGCAAAUAAAUGCGAGAACAAUGUGAUAACCAAUAACCGCUAUAACAAAAAUAUAUCUCCAUAACCGGAUAUAUCUCUAAUAAAUACAUCUCUCUAAUAGAUAAAUCUAUCAUCUCUCUCAUAGAUAAAUCUCAUAAUAUAUAACUAGAUAAAGAUAAUAUGAGAUAAGUAACCAUUUGUUUUUGGUUUAAAUCUUAAACCUAUUAAUUUGAGUUUAUAUUAGGUCUUAAGUCUAAUUUGUUUUUAAAAUUAAUUCAAAUCAAAUUGGAAUUGAUAUAAAAAAGAUAUUAAAUAUAUUUAGAAUUAAUUUAAUCAUAAUAUAAAAUAAUGAAUUACUUUAAUAGAAUCUAAUUUGGUUCAGUUUAUAUCAAUUAUGGGACAAGAAAAUUGAAAACCAAGUUGACAAAAUCGGUUUUUAAAAUUCUCAAAUCAAAUUGACCUUUUUUAUUAUUGAAAACCAAAUCAAUAAGGUUAGUUUUGGUUUAUUUGGAUCGGAUUUUUGGUUUUUUGGUUUUGCUUAGACCACUAGCUACAAUCAUUUUCAACAAUGAAAUUUUAAUUAAGCUUUGAAACCCAUAUCUUAUCUCAACGAUCAUCCCAUAAAAUUUCAAAGCAAAUAUAAAGACCAAAUUAGUUGGAUAUGAUAUAGAUGAAAUAAUAUAUCUUAUCUCAUCUUCAAGCAAAAAUGGAAUGGGAUAAGAUGUCAUAUGGAUUAUAAAUUUAUUCUUCUUUUUUUUUUCUUUUUGUAUUGCUCAUUUUUUAAAAUAAAUUUUUUACUAAAAAAAUUAAAUUUAUAAUUCACAAAAGAAAAGAAUUCUAAAAAAAAUAUGUAUAAAAUACAACAUCAAAUAGUAUUAAAUAUGUAUUUAAUAUAACACACACACACACACAUAUAUAUAUAUAAUAAAGAAAUAAAAAAUAAAAAUAAUAGUUGCUUCUACAUGGUUAAAUUUGAUUAAAAAUUUUAGGAUUUUAAAAAAAAAUUACUAUUCUAAAUUUUAAUAUUUUUUAAAGUAAUUUUUAAAAAUAUAAAUAAAUCUAUACUUUUUGUAUAAAAGUUUUUUCUUUUUAUAUAGAAGUUUGUAUUUUUGAAAACAAAAACAGAAAAUAUAUUCAAACUAAGCUUAAAUCACAAAUUAAGAAAUGAUCUCUAAGUAAACAUUAAAAUUAAGAGAGAUGUUGAUUGUGUUUGACUGUGUUUUUAAAAAAUUCUUUUAGUUUAAAAUUUUUUUUAUUAAAUAAAAAUAAAAAAAGUGUUUAGUAAAAUUUAGAAAACAUAUUUAAAAUUUUGAAAAAACAUUUAUAGUGUUUUCUCGAGAAACACUUAAUAAAUUAUUCUCUUAAAAGCAUUGUCAAAGAAAACACUUUCAAUAAAAACAUUUUGAGUAAAAAUACAAUCAAACACACUUUUCAUACUUUUUUUUAAUAACAAAUAUUGGAAUGUAAUAUGAAUUUUAUUUUAAAUAGAUAUUAAACAUAUAAGAUUUUCAAUUUCGUCCUUUUCAAACAAAUAUUGAAAUGCAAUAUGUUUUUCAAUUUAUUUUUUAUUUUUAUUCUACUAACCAAAUAUUAAUAUGAUAUAAUAUAUUUUUCAUUAGAUGUAUCAUUUGGAUGGGAUAAUUCGUCCUUUUCAUUUGAAUAAGAAUUUUAUUUCUUAUGCAACAUGUGCAUAAGUCAUAAUAAUAAUAAUAAUAAUAAUAUGUCUUUUUUUAAAAAAAACAUAUAUGUUAUUAUUGUUGUUAUUAUUAUCCAUCAUGAAUCAAUUGAAUAAACAAAAAAAAUAUUAAUUAAUUAUGGCAAUUCCAAAAGUUCAAUCAGGCAAACGGUAAGUGAGUAUUUGACUAAAACUUAAUAAUUUAAAGUAACUUAAUAAAUUAAUUUAAAUCAUUAAGUAAAUUAAGUAUAUUUGAUAAAAUAACUUAAUAUAACUUAAAAUAAAAAUAACUUUCGGUAAUAAUUAAAAAUAAUUAACUUAUUUUUAAGUCUACAUUUUUAUUUUACCUUUUUAUCUUCAUUUGUCCUGAUUAUCUCAACGAUCUUUUUGUUACUUUACAACCUUGUUACUCGACUUCAUUUGCCCUAAUUAUAAUUUAUUAUGAUAAAUAUGUCAAUUUGAUCAUUUAGAAUAAAUUUUAAGUUAAUUUCAUUAAACAAACUUAUUACUUAAAAUAAGAAUUAAAUAAUAAGUUUUAAGUCAACAACUUAAGUAUAAUUCAACUUAAGUAUAAUUUAACUUAAAAUCAACUCAAGUAAUUAAGUAAUAAGUAUUAAGUUUUACCGAACAUCAUCUACAUUUUUAUAUCAAAAUAAGUUGGAAAAAAAAAUUCAUGUUUCAUGGAUUUCUUAUGAUAAAUCUCAUAAACUCGUAAAAUAAACUAGAAGAUUUUUUUUUUUUUAAUUAAACUUUACAUUCACAUGAUGCAUACAUAAAAUAUAUCUUUAACAACAAAUAAAUGAAUGAUUUGAAGAUAGAUUUGUGUAUCCAUCAAUUAAACAACAAACAAAUGAAUGAUUUGAAGAUAGAUUUGUGUGUCCAUCAAUUAAACAACAAAGAAAAUUUUCAAAUAUAAUAAAAAAUUAUGAUAAAAUAAAUUUAAAAGUUAUUGUAAUAUAAAAUAAAUGUCACAUUCAUAUGAAUACAAUAAAUAAUUUAAAAAUGGAUAAAAAUUUGAAAGAAAAUUCAUAACAUGCAAUCAUAUGCAUGCAUUAUUAUAAAACAAUUAAUGAAAAGUGCAUUAAAAAAUAAUUUUGUGUACAUUAAAAGGAAUUUAAAAAUAAACUUCAUAUCUACGUGUAAACCUAAAAUCCAUGGGUAGUGAAUUUUUCGUCGCGCUUUCUUUCAAAUUUUUGAAGUUAUAAGCUAGGCAAUACACAUACUAUAUUAAAACAAAUAGAAUUUUAUUAAGAAUUUGUUAGAGUUUAGUAACCCGAAUUUUAUUUGGUUCGACUCGAAAAGUUUACAGUACGACAUAUGUGGUGCAAAGUGCAUUAAAAAAUAAUUUUGUGUACAUUAAAAGGAAUUUAAAAAUAAACUUCAUAUCUACGUGUAAACCUAAAAUCCAUGGGUAGUGAAUUUUUCGUCGCGCUUUCUUUCAAAUUUUUGAAGUUAUAAGCUAGGCAAUACACAUACUAUAUUAAAACAAAUAGAAUUUUAUUAAGAAUUUGUUAGAGUUUAGUAACCCGAAUUUUAUUUGGUUCGACUCGAAAAGUUUACAGUACGACAUAUGUAGUGCAACUAUAAUUUUGAGAUUUUUUGGAGGGUCUGUGGUAGUAUCGAUCUGAUCCUAUAGCCCACUACUGAUCCNNNNNNNNNNNNNNNNNNNNNNNNNNNNNNNNNNNNNNNNNNNNNNNNNNNNNNNNNNNNNNNNNNNNNNNNNNNNNNNNNNNNNNNNNNNNNNNNNNNNUCUAUUGUAGUUGCUCACAAUUCUUCAUUCUUGUACCAAUCUUUUCAUAUAGUGAAUUUUCUACUCCUUUGCCCGUGGUUUUUCAAGUAAAUUUAUGUGUUUUUAUUUUGUUUUUGUUUAUUAUCUAUUCUCAUUAUUAUGUAACAAAUUUAUGAACUAUUAUUUUGGGAAUUAGAAAAUAUGAAAAGAUGAUAAUAUUAUAUUAUACAAGUGUUUAUACUCUUUUAGACGGUGGAAAGUAAAUAUAUUAAUUAAAAUUAUUUAAAUUUCUUUCAAUUUAUUUUGAUUCAUUUAUUUUAAAAAUUAAAAUAAAAUAGAACUUUCUAAUGAAAUUAUUGAAUUUAUUGAAUACCGAAUUCAAAACUAAUCUCAUUACAUAUUUGAAAAACCUGUCUCAGUAUAAUCUCUAAUCUAAAUUACACAUAAAUUAAUAAACCUAGUAAAAAAAAAGGUAUAAUUGUAAGUAUGGUUGAUUACAAUAUAGAUAUUCCUAUCAACAUUUAAGUAUGUGCAUUAGGUGGAAUACCAAUUACCAAACUCAUUAGGUGAGAAGGAAUUGACUGCUCCACUUUGUAAGAUAUCAACAAUAAAGUGUCUAUAUUAUAUUCUAUGACAAUGUCAUCAUUGUUAAGGAAUUUAAUUUUGUAAAAUUUCUAGGUCUAUCGUGUAUGAGAAACUAUUAGCUAAAUGAGGCAUUUCUUUAUAUUGGCAUUUGGUGUUCAACCACAAUGAGAUGAUGGGUUUAAAUUAAUACAAAUCUAUAAAUUAAGUCAUUAAGUGUGAGAUCUCAUGUCCCACUUGAAUCCCAAUCCACUAUAAUAUGAAGUCAAAUGGCAAAUUUGGGUAGUUUACUAUUAAAUUCUAUGCUUAUAAGAGAAUAUGAUUUUUUUUUUAAGUAUAAAGUAUUCUUAUUUCAUCAUUAAUGUAUUUUUCAAUAUAAUUUCUUUAACACUUUGUUUACAUGUUGAAAAUGGCUUUUUUGAGAUGGGAAAUGGUGCAUCAACUUAAUAUUACUUUCACUUAAAAGAAAAUAAAAUUGUAACCAUCUACUGGAUAUUGUUUACUUUGAAUCAUGUAAGAACCUACUUUCAAUUAUAUAAAUAUUAUUUACUUUAAAUUCGAAUUUUUUUAAAAUACUUCUACAUGAUAAAGAGAAACUUAUAUUUUUCUUAUCCAAAUUGAAAUAUCAUAAUUAUCUCUCAUGCAAUCACUCAUGUCCCACACGAUGACGAGGGCAAACAAAUUACCCCUCAUGCGAUCACUCAUGUCCCGUACUUGGCAAUGGUUCUGUAUAUAUGCGCACAUGCAUUAUAUUUUAUUACCAUUAACUAUAUCUGUAUAUGUAUUGUUUGCUGAGAAAAACUUAUCAUCAUCAUUUACAAAGUCUUAUAAUGGCAUCUCAUGUAUUUCUCCGAUGAGCGUUGGAAUUUGAGUACAUGAAUAGGAAGUAUUGAUUGAGAGGUUGACUAGGUUAAUUGAUUUGGUUAACUAAAUUGGGAUUGUGGAAGGCAUUAUAACUUAAUUUAGAAGCUUUUUUUAUGACCACCUUGUGCACAUUUUACUUUUGGUUUGGGGUGGAGUCUUUGUUAAUUAUAUAUCUUUCCUAAGAUCUUGAUGUAGUGGCGCCCUUUUUUUAGUAAUAUCGAAUUGUUACACCAUUUCCUAUCUUGAAAAUGACAUUUUUAACAUAUGAAAUAAGGCAUUGACGGAGCUCCUAACAACAUCCCUUCUAAUUAGAAAUGUAGGGAUGUAACUUAUGUGGGUUAGUGCAUGAAACCUCAAUCUAAUCCAAUUUUAAAAGGAUUUGGACAAUUAUUUUUAACAUUUAAGUUGACGGAGCUCCUAACAACUUCCAUUCUAAUUAAAAAUGUCGGGAUGUAAAUUAUGUGGAUUAGUACAUGAAACCUCGAUCUAAUUCAAUUUUAAAAAGAUUUGGACAAUUAUUUUUAAUAUUUAAAUUGGGUUACAGUUAAGUUUUUUCUAGUACUCGAACUUAAAAUUAAAUUUAGAUAACUCAAAUCCUAUCAGGGACGAUCAAUCGCUCUACCAUUGAGCUACUGAGGAAGAUCUCUCAUAGAGUUCAAUUCUCAUUCUUAGAAUUAAUUUUUUUUAACAUUUAUAAUUUAAAUUAUUUUAUAUGAUAAUAUAUAUUUUUUUUAUUUUCUUUUUCGAUUCUUAAGAAAAAAAAUCAAAUUAUAUUUAUAUCAUACAAUUUUUCAGUUUCUAUAAAGGUAUAUAUAUUAUACGUAGAUUUUGAAUCAAACAAUCUAAUGAAUUCAAAUAUAAUCUAAUCAGCUCAAAUUUAAUCCAAUCUUAAUUAAGAAAAUAAGACUAAAUUGGAUUUGUAUUGAAUAGCUUAGAUUAUAAAUCAGAUUAAAUUACACCUAAAUUGAUUGUUUUUUAAUUAGGUUAAACAAUCCUUUCCAACUUAUUUAAAUUGCAACAUCAUAGCUAAUUCGUAGUGAUUAAAUACAUUUUUCUUAUGUUAAAGAAAAUAUGCAAAUGUCUUUAACUUUCAUAUAAAAUAAAAAAUAAAUAUAAAAAUAGAACCAUUAUAUAGAGCAUAUUAAGAGAAUUUACUAUUCUCAUAAUAAUGUAAAUUAUCAUUUUCAUAAUAAUGGUUAUUUAUAUUUGUGUGAAUGCAUUAUAUUAAAUACCACUAACCACAUAUAUGCAUUGUUUACAUAGAUAACACUUAUCAUCAUUGACGAAGUCUUUUAUAGUCUGUUUAGUGACUACUUUUUAAAACAAUUUUUAAAACUAAUUUUAGAAAACAAUUUUUAAAAACUAUUUUAUGAUUUUUGUAGAACAAAAGUUUAUUUAAAAACCUAAAAUGUUUUUAAUCCAUUUUUAACAUUUUUAAAUAUGUAUUAAAAAUAAUUUUUAAAUGUAUUUUACUUUUAAUCAUUCUAUAUGUUUGUAUAAUUAUUUUUUAAAAUAAUUAUCGGAAAACAAAUGAAAACGAUAGAAAAUAACUAAAAGAUGUUCUUUGAAAACACUUCGUUUUCUAUUUUUAAGAAUAGAAAAUAGUUUUUGGUUGUGAAACGUGUUUUUUGUUGUGAAGAAUAUAAAAUUAUUCUCAAAAACAAUUUCCAAAUAGACCUUUAGUGGCACCCCAUGUUUCUUGUCGAAUGAGUGUUGGAAUUUGAGUACAUGAAAGGGGAGCACUUAUUGAGAGAUUGACUAAGUGAAUUACUUUGUUUACUAAAUUAGUGGAAGGCUUUAUUUAAUUAGAUGCUUAUAUGAUGGUCAUGUUCCGCACAUUUUCCUUUUGGUUUGUGGUGUAGUUUUCCUUAAUUAUCAUCUAGUUACCAACCCUCCUAAGAUCUUGAUGAGUAGUGGCCCCCCUUUUUUUUUUCUUUUUGAAAGUAAUAUCAAUUUGUUGCAUCAUUUCCUCUCCCCAUCUUAUGGGUGGAUUUUGUGCUACCGUUUUUAUUAGUUAUCAUCUAAUUAACAACCUUCCUAAGAUCUUGAUUAUUAAUUUUGAUGUUUCAUAUUGAAUAGAUGAAAAGGUUUUUGACACUACAUAUAUAUAUAAGUUUCUUUUAACCAUAUAAAUAUAUUUUAAAAUCGUGAUGAUCUUUUAAGAUCGAAGGGAUAAUGUCUUUAUGAUUUUUUUAUUCUACAAUCCUAUGUGAUAGAAAGAAAAUCUUUUAAUCAUGUAGACACACACAAUCAAUAGUGGACCACUAAAAAUGGUAUCAAAACCGAUCAUCAAUUUGGUAUAGGAAUUUAUUUGGUCCUAUAUGAAGUGUUUGUUUGUUUAAUCUUACAAUUCUUAGAAUGGUCAAUGUCUAUAUGAGGAGGAGAAAGGGAAAGGGGAAGAGAGGGAGGGAACAGGUUGUUACAAAUAAUAUCGGAACCUCCCAACUCAGUGUGACAAUUUGUUUGAUCCAUAAAAAGUAUUGUUUGUUUGAACUCAUAAUCCUAUUUCAAAGAAUUGACAACUCCUGUAUAUGUUAAUUGCUAGCUGGCUGCAAUACACCACCAUAAUGCUCCAUCCCAACGAUUGAAACACUGCAAAAGCAAAUGGCCAACAAAGAAAAAUGGGGAAGCCAAAAUAGAAUGCCAAUUGUCAUUGUAAGGUUGCAGAUAUAAGGAAGGGGAAGAAGCACUAACAUUUGGAGUAGAGAAUUUGGGUAGGUGAGCUUAGUGGGGGUGUUUCAUGCUUGUGGCCAAGCUUAUUUAGGUUUUCUGAAAGUAGAAUGGGUUGAAAUGGGAGGUGGGAGGCACCAAGAUUUAGGGACAACCCAUGGCUCUAGGGUGUUCUUUUAGUAGAGGCUGGGGACUGGUGAGGGAUGUGUGGUUUAAUAAUCAAACAAGUGGAGAAAAUAACCACUCGUGGUAUUAUAGAAAGUAACUUAAAAAUUUAAUUAAGGAAGAGAAAAGGGUGACUAUUUUGGAAAACUGAUCACCCCACCUCGUCCGACUCCAUUAUUUAUAUAUAAAAUUAAAUAAUUUUUUUUUCAUGUUUCCUUUUUGAACACAUAUAUUUAUCAUAAAAAAAUAAAAUAUAAAAUAUAAAAUAUAAAAUUGAUGGAUAUGCAUUUAUAGAUUAUAUUUAUUAGAAUAUAAUUAAAAUUGAGUAUAUAGCAAAUUCCAGGUUGGUUCCUACAGAUAAAAAAAUAUAUCUCAUUUUUAAAAUAAAAAAUAAAUAAAUAAAUAAAAAGAAAGUUGAAGGUAGGUAUGUAAAAAAUACGAAAUACAUGUGAUGCGGAAAAAUGAGAAGGAUACGUACUUACAUACUCCACUCUCGUGUGAAUGCAUGGACACGUGAGUCCCAUUUUUUCAGUGUGGAAGACUAAGACUUCUAAAGUCAAAAGUAGUAGUCCACAUCCACCCACAACCACUAGUAAUUCACUUAAAUUCCAAAAUAUCACUAAAAAUGAUAUAUCUGCUAAUUAGCUAAUUAAUUAAGCUUGAACCAUAAAUCUGGAGGGUGUGUACUUACUAAUAUACUAUGAUUAGAAAAUAAACCAAAGUUAUGCUCAUUUUUUAAAUUUAAUACUAAAUAUAAUUUACUUUCAAAUUUUAACUUUUUUUUAUUUUGAACUUUUAAGUUUUUUAUCACUACUUUUAACCAAAUAAAAAAAACUAAAAAUUGUAAUUUUUUAUUAAUCUAAAAAGUGAGGUGAUUCACACUUCUAAUCUCUAUCCUCACACUUCACUCUAUCAUGAAAACACAAAUAACUUAAUUCUUCAUAAUAUUGAAUUAUAUUUAAGGUUAAAUUAAAUUAUGGUCUAUUUAGAUUUAAGCCACCUAAAUUUUAUUUCAUAAAGCUAGUUUUAUGUAUGUUCCAGUAAAGCUUAGAUAUAUUUAUUGAGAAAUUCUAAAACACCGAACCCCGUAUAUUCAAUCAAUCAAUCAAAUAAAGAAUAAAUUAAUUAAUAAGACUAUGAGAAGUAAAUUAUAUUGAAACAGGAAAUUUUAGAUUACCACACAAGUAGUUACAUGAUGCGGAUGAAACAGGGAAGAUCGAUUCAUGGAGGGAUAGUGGUAAUCCAUUCAAGUAUGAACACAUGGAGAAUUGGGAUGAGUUUGUUAGAAGACAUCUCAAGUCAAAAGUGGAACACAAACCUUAUAUUUUAGAUUAAUAAUUGCAUGAAAGGCUAAUGAUUCACCAGUCACCACCAUCACCACUAACUCGAUCAAUUCCCAGUUCUCUAUUAAUUUGCAGAAGAAGCUACGAGAACCUCCAUAAACUAAGCGAUAUAUGGAGCUCCAAAAUGCUUAUAAAUAGGGACACUUCCUACAUCUUCCCUCACAACACACAAGUAGUAGCUAACUGGUGUGAUUACUUCUGAUACAUACAUAGAGAGUGAUUCUCAACUUUCUUUUCCCACAAUGGGGAGUUCUAAGGUGAUGGGUUUUGCAUUCUUGGUUUUACUCCUCCUGGAUCUCUCCUUUGCUGCUAGAAUAUUGAAGGAAUAUGGCGCCGAUGGAGGUGACGGAGGAGGUGGUGGUGGAGAGAGUGGCGGGGGCGGUGGUGGUUCCGCUGUCGGAGCUGGUUCAGGCUACGGUUCGGGUAGUGGUUCAGGGUAUGGUGGUGCUGAUGGGAACGGGUAUGCAGGUGGUGGAGGUGGAGGUGGGGGUAGCGGAGGAGGUGGCGGCGGUGGGAGAGCUGGAGCCUCCGGGUCUGGAUCAGGCUACGGUUCAGGAUAUGGAUCCGGUUCUGGUCACGGGUCAGGAAGUGGAGGCUGGAAACGUGGCGGCCGCAGUGGUUGUUCAGGGUGUCGUGCUGCUAAUCGGGAUGGGAAUGCAGGUGGCGGGGGUGGAGAUCCUGGUAGCAGAGACUUUAAGGGAAGUGCAUCAUCCGGGUAUGGAUCAGGCACUGGUGCAGGAAAGAGCGGAGGCUCUGGGAGGGGCUCCGGAUACGGAUCAGGGAGCGGAAGUGGGUACGGAAGCGGGAGUGGUGGUGGCGAAGGAGGUGGGGGAGGAGGAGGAGGUGGAGUCGGUGGAGGAGGGGACGGAGGCUCUGGGUCCAGCGACGGGAGUGGCUCCGGAUACGGAUCAGGGAGCGGGAGUGGGUACGGAAGCGGGAGUGGUGGUGGCAAAGGAGGUGGGGGAGGAGGAGGAGGUGGAGGCGAUGGCAGUGAAGUUGGUCCAGGAUCCGGAUCCGGAUAUGGGAGCGGAAGUGGAUCGGGAUAUGGGUCAGGAAAGGGCGGCGGAGAGGAGGUUUUACCCGGAAGUUGAAGAAAUGACCGAGUAGUUAAUAAAGCAGGCUAGGGUUGAAGAGUGUAAUUAAUAUUAUAGUGAUUUUCAAAAGUGUUUUUAAUUCUUCUUAUAUUAAAAAAUUUUAUUUUUUAAAUAUUAAAAGUGUUAUAAAUAUUUUUUAAUUACUGUC